UAAAAAACUUAGUGUAUUUUUCAGAGAAGGCUUUCCUGUUGAAAAACAGCCUAUUUUUUGAGGUAAUAUUGCAUUUUUUUUCAUUUUCUGUUAUUUUAUUUGUGUUCUAAAUGUGUCUCUGUCAUACUUUUUGUGUAUUUUCUUUAUUUAGUGAUUUAUUUGCUUCAAAAUUUUGCAAAUUGUAGCCAUGCACUUUCACACGAAUUUUUACCGUUGUUUGCAUCCAAGCAUGAACAGUUGGAUAUUAAUAACAAUAAUAACAUUGUCUAUGCUCAUGUCAAAGUAUCAAGCUAAGACCAUCAGACAGGUUUAAAUCUGACCAGCGAAUCAUGUUUAACCAUCCUUGGGCAGUUGGGCUGACUGACUGCACUGGAUAGUUUUGAAAUUGCUUAAUUGCAUGCCCAGAGCCCCCAGUAUGGAAAGCUUGUAUCGUGCAAUCGAGAUAUUGGGCAUGCAAUUUUCUUUAAACUUUUGAAAUCUCAGGAUUUCCAGAGCCCAAUAUUUAAAGAGUUUAUACAGAAAACAUCAAAACUAUACAACCAAUCCAAUAUCAUGUUAGCACAAUAUAAACUUUCCACAGUGGAUUGCCGAGCUGAUUGAAACCUUGGAAUUACCUAGUUUUGGAGUUAUAUUUUGGUAUUUCCCUCAAAAACAUUGUCUACAUGUAUCUCAUUGCAUACUUUUAAUGUUAAGCCCACUAUCACCUAGAUUUUAGAAAGCUUGUGUGAUCAAAAUGGCUCCACUACUCCGAGGAUUUGUACAAACCAGGAUAAGAAAUGAUCUCAUGGUUGGGAUGGCAUUUGGCAUGGUUGCUGGUUUUCUGUGGAAAUUUGGUUAUGCUGAUCCAUUAAGACGAAAAUAUGAAAGAUAUUAUAAAAAUUUUGAUGCAGAAAAAGCUGCCUUAGAAAUGGAGAAACAAUAAAAUUUUUUGUUGAUAUAGGUCUGUGUUUUUACAGUCUUAAUUCUUAGGAUAUAUCUAAUUAGAAAUAUGAUGCAUCUAAUUAGAACAAGGAUCUAUCUAAUUAGAACACAAAUGCUUCCAAUGAGAACACGAUUCUUCUAAUUAGAACAAAGAUGCAUCUAAUUAGAACAAAGAUGCAUCUAAUUAGAACAAAGAUGCAUCUAAUUAGAACAAAGAUGCAUCUAAUUAGAACAAAGAUGCAUCUAAUUAGAACAAAAAGUCAUGCAAUUAGAACAAGUUUAGAUCUAAUUAGAACAAAAUCAUCCAAUUAGAACAAGUUUAGAUCUAAUUAGAACAAAAUCAUCCAAUUAGAACAAGGAUUUUAUUAAUUAGAAACCAAUUUCCUUUAAUUAGAGCAAAGAUUACUUUUAUAUGAAUGAAAUUAGUUGAUUGAUUGAUUGAUUGCAACACACAGCAAAUUUGGAAAAUUUUUGAUUUGGUGAAAACACUGAAGUCAGUAUCAUGAUAUAUAUUUAAUACUUCUCCAUCUAACUCACUGCAUUCUGCCUUCUUUCUAGGUUCAAACCAUUAUGCUGGUAGUUAAAUGAAUUUGAGAAAUCAUGGUGCAACGCUAUGGACAUCUCCUGUCACUUUUUAUUUUUAAACUACUGUAUAAUUUUCCAAGAGUUUCUAUUUAUGUGAAAUAAAGUUUUAUGUGUUUUUGACGAU